rnacentral:pre_miRNA from 1 species
GUUUUACUCCCUCCGUCCGAAAAUACUUGUCAUCAAAAUGGAUAAAAAUGGAUGUAUCCAGAACUAAAAUAUGUCUAGAUACAUCUCCUUUUAUUCAUUUUGAUGACAAGUAUUUCCGGACGGAUGGAGUACAUG